CCGCUGCCACCAGUGCUCGCCACCACGCAAGCCCAGCCGCGUUGCCAGUUCGCCGUCCUGGCUCACCGUCGCGCCUUGCCCCGCCAACUUCUUCUCCCUUUCUUCUUUCGCGGGUUACCACCGUAGGCGCACGCAACCACCACCCAGCAAGCCACCUGCGCCACCAGCCUUGUCGACCGAUCGUCGACCACCCACACCUGCUGCCGCGCCGCCAUUGCCGCCGGCCAGCAGCCUUUCUCUCCUCCUUAAUUUUGGUGGAGAAUUCUCGUUAGGCGACUUUUGAAAGUGUUAAAGUGGCCUAUUAGUUUGUUUACACAAGUCUCUAAGGAUCAAUAAGCGUUGCCCAUCUACAGGUUUGAAGAUGAUGCAUCAUUGGGAUCGGGAUUAGAGAGCUUGUAGUUAUAUUUGCUUAUUUAAAUGAUUUGGUUUGUUAACUUAAUUUGAAAUUUGUCGUACUAUUCGUAUUUCCUUAUUUCAGUUAAUUGGUUUUGGACCUAAUAUGUAAUAAGAUUAUUUAUGAACCUAAAAGUUAGUUUUAUGUUUUCCGCUGCAAAAUUCUGAAUAAGCCGUUACGUUUUCACACGGGCGAUAAUACUUUGA